rnacentral:rRNA from 1 species
UCGGGAAUUUUGGGCAAUGGGCGAAAGCCUGACCCAGCAACGCCGCGUGAGGGAUGAAGUAUUUCGGUAUGUAAACCUCGAAAGAAUGGGAAGAAUAAAUGACGGUACCAUUUAUAAGCUCCGGCUAACUACGUGCCAGCAGCCGCGGUAAUACGUAGGGAGCAAGCGUUGUUCGGAUUUACUGGGCGUAAAGGGCGCGUAGGCGGCGCGGUAAGUCACUUGUGAAAUCUCUGAGCUUAACUCAGAACGGCCAAGUGAUACUGCUGUGCUAGAGUGCGGAAGAGGCCACCGGAAUUCUUGGUGUAGCGGUGAAAUGCGUAGAUAUCAAGAGGAACACCUGAGGCGAAGGCGGGUUGCUGGGCCGACACUGACGCUGAUGUGCGAAAGCCAGGGGAGCAAACG